rnacentral:lncRNA from 1 species
ACCUCGUUACAUUUUUUGUGUUUGCUUUGCUAUUUUCUUCUUUCUUCUUCCUUUGAUCUUUGAUAAUCCGUUGCGGUGCUCAAGUGUUUUAUCCUACUGAUACCACGGGGUAAUCUUUUGCCCUUCGUAGGCGGAGCGAAGAGGUGAUCCUUGAGUCCGGAGUCGAGGGAGCGAGAGAGUGCUUAUCCGUUUGUAUCUCUCUUGCUUGUCCGACGUCGGUGGCGGCGCUGGUGUGAGUGGGUUCCGGUGCGGGGCGCCGACAACAAU